rnacentral:lncRNA from 1 species
CAGGGAGGGGCUGAUAACUGAUGGUUAGCUGGAGCAUUGAGUUCUUAGCUUCAGAGAGGCUGCUCAUCUGUCUCAGAACUGCCCCUGGCGCACCUCCAGCCCAGAUAAGUGGCAGUGCAGUGGGGGAGGCAGAUGGUAUCAAAGGUCACUACCAGCUCCCAGAGGCCAGCCCUCUUCUUAGAUUGGGGCUCUUGAGAGCUUCUCAGGAGGUGUCUUCAGUGCAACAUUCCAGAUUGCCCCCUAGGAAUAGAAAAGGCAGCUAACGUUUAUUGGGCACCUCCUAGGUGCUGGGAGGUUUAUAUUUAAAUCUCACAACAGCCUAUGAAAAUAGUAUUAUCCCCAUUCUCCAGAGGCUCCCUCAAAUGAAGUGACUUGCUCAAGUUCCCAUAGUGAGUGGCAGAGAUAGGAGUCAAACCCAGGAUAGUGUGAGGCCAAAGCAAAGAACCAUACUGAGGGAAAGACACCAGCAGGCCUGUCCUCUGGAGACACCGGCCUCACUCUGCUGUUGUCUGGACAUGGCAUGGCUGCCUCUCUUUCCAAACGGAGAGAAGUAAAACUGAGGGAGGCCAGGGUCUUGUAGGCAGGGUCUGCCUUUUUGAAUCCAUGCAAGGGGCAGUGAUCAGCCUGUGUGUGGCAAUGGCCAGGCAACAUGGCUCGCUUCGGGUGCCAGAAACAACUGUAAGCUUUACAUCUUAAACUAAAGAUUCCACUAAAUAAAGAAAAAUAGGAAACGUAUAGCCCCUUCCUGACCAGCCCAACCUUGUGUAUUAAAACCAAUUGUAGUACUAAGUAAUAAAGCAUUCCUCUAAAAGAAAGAAGUUUGAAUAAGGCAGACAUUAUACACAGGUUCUGAAACAGCCUCACCUGAGGAAGGGGUCAGGCUCGGCCUGGGUGCAGGGCCAAGAAGAAUGCCCUAAACCAGUCAGAGUCCUAAAUAAAUGAAACUGUCAGAGCAAUGACCACAAACUGGCCUCUCCUCAGCUCAUUUCCUGAGAUAGGAAUACGGUUUAUUGAGCAAUUUCCCUGUGCCAAGUCAUUUUGUUUGCAAUAAACCUAUUAGGCAGGUAAUUUUUUUUGUUCAUUUGGGUUUUUUUUGUUUUUUUUUUUUUUAAUUUUUGGCUGCACCUGCGGCAUGCAGAAAUUUCUGGGCCAGGGAUCGAACCUGGGCUACAGCUGCAAACCAAGUCACAACUGUGACAACACCAAAUCCUUAACCCACUGAAACACCAGGGAAAUCCCGAGGUGAGUACUAUUAUUUUUCCUAUUUCAUAGAUGCCUAAGGCUUAGAAAGUGACUGGCUGCCAUACCUAAGGUUCCCACUGAGACCCUCUUCUCAAAGGAUUAUAAGCUUGGUGCAGAGCGGAGGAAUACAGUGCAGAUGGAGGCUCUGCCAUUUGUCCCUCCUGUCCCUUAGGAGACAUGAAGAGUGUCUCUCCAAGUGGCAGGGGAAUGCCUGCAUUCUGAAAGGCCUGGACAGGAAGAAAGACAGGGCCCUCCUCAAAUGGGGUCACUCUGGGCUUUAUUUUCCCCAUCCCGCUCCGUCCCAGGACUGACAAAGUUGCACAGUUCCUGUCCUGCUGCUCAGGGCAGUGAGGACGCAGCCUCCGAGGAGCAAUGCCUCAUGUCAACUUCAUUGACUUUCUGCUUCGUUAGGUCAGUGAGAGGCUGCAGCUUGCACAGAGAGGCCUCUUCAGCACAGCCUAGCAAUUUCCUGAGAGGACCUCCCCAUUGUCCCUGCUGCCAGGGGCAGUAGCUGCAUCUGGUUUCUAUGCAAAGAGUCUGCCCAGGUGCCACCUGGAUUUCAUAUCUUCAAAGCCUGUCUACAGCACAUCUGGCUGUGUGAUUUAGGGCAAGUGCUUUACCUCCCCAAAAUUCAGUACCUGUUUCUGGAAAAUGGGAGUAAUGAUGUUCCCUACCCCACAAGAUGGUUGUGAAGAUUAAAUUAGAUAAUGCAUUGGCAUUCUCCAGUGGUGGUGCACAGGUUAAGGAUCUGGCAUUGUCACUGCAGCAGCUUUGUUACUGCUGUGGCACAUGAUGGAUCCCUGACAUGGGAACUUCCACAUGCCACAGACAUGCCACCCCUCCCUCCCCCCAAAUUAGAUGAUGCAUGUAAAAUUUCACAAAGUCUGGACCCACAAGAUUUGAUCUAGCACUGACCAGGAAGCCCCCUUCAGCAAUCACAAGUAAUUUCAAAACAGCUCAAAUCCUAGGCUGGCCCUUUGGGCAAACUGAAAGUAGAAUUUAGUGAUGUCUGUAGCAGCAUUUAUCAAGAAUCUUCUUUCCUGUCAGAGCUCCUUUCAUCCUUAAGGAGAAGUCAGGCCAACUCUUCCAAUCUCCCACCACCAAAAUUCCCUGGAGACAUUUUCUCUUCCUCUUUAUUAUAUAGAUUAACAUCCUUUAGACUCAAAUCAUUCUUCCCACCACCAGUCUAAAUACACAUAGUCUUCCCCAACUGGGUAUUAUUGAUUCUGUAUCACAAGAGCCCAAGGAACAAGUUGAGCAGAAGCCAAACUCCCACCUUGGGAUUGGGAGAACCCUUGUGGGCAGGGAAGGCUGUGAACUCUCACCUGGCACAGUAUUCCCACAAUUGAAUUUUUUGUUAUUUUUAUAAUUUUUUGUUAAAGUGUAGUUGAUUUUACAAUGUUGUGCCAAUUUCUGCUGUACAGCAGAGUGACCCAGUGACAGAUAUAUACACAUUCCUUUUCUCAUAUUCCAUCAUGUUCUAUCCCAAGAGACUGGAUGUAGUUCACUCUGCUAUAGAGUAGGACCUCAUUGCAUAUCCAUUCUAAAUGUGAUCAUUUGCACCUACUAACCCCAAACCCCCAGUCCAUCCCACUUCUUCCUCCCUUCUGCUUGGUUGGCAACCACAAGUCUGUUCUCUCUCUGUGAGUCACACAACUGAAUUUCAGGCUUCCUCCCAGCAAUGUGCACAGAGGGCUGAGAGGAGGAGCUGGCCGAACCAGGAGCAGUUCCACUUUGCAUUCUGAUUUGGCUUUCUCCUGGAAAUGGAAUCUCUCUGAAGGGGCCUCCCCAGUUCUCGACAUUGUGGCAGUAAUGUUAGCUCCAUCUCUUCUCCUGGGGUCCGCCCCCCCACCCUCCCACUGGCUCUUGAGUCUGUCUCCAUAUUGAUAAACACCCACCCUGCUAAAAGCUUGCCAGCUCCUCAGAUGCCCCAGGGGCCAUUUUAUGGGGUGGAGGUUAGUAAGGAUCUGGGAUUAUUGCCAUUAUCCAUGGCAAACUAUCUCCUGGACCACCACCACCCCCUGUGCCAGGAAGAGCAAAGUCUGAAGCCAGCUAACACAUUGUGAAAUUCUCACCUGUCACCCAUUACCCUAAACCAAAACCCCACUGUCUUCCCUGAGAAAUGAAUUCCACAUGGGAGAGAGAGAAUGGUUUCCAAAGAAUCCAGCCUGACCCAUUUCAGGACCUUUCUCAAAAACCUGCCACUGGGCCUGAAGCCUUCCGGGGCAACCCAGCUGGGCUUCCUCCCUCGGCUGUUCCUAACUUCCAGGGAUGACAGGGGGGUGUGAUGGGCCCACAGUGACAGUCAGCCCCACUGGGGUCUGCAAGGGAGCCCUGCCAAGGAUGCUGGCUCUGGAUUGUCGCCCAAGGCAGGAAGCUCUGGCCUAUGGUUACCAUGGAGAUCUUGGCACAGCCUGUGUCCAUAUGUGGUUGACAGGCGGCCUCCCUUAGGAAAUGAGAAAGAUUUGAUUUCUUGAGAACUGACUCAGCUUGGGUGGAGAGUCUGACAUGAUGGACCUGCAGCUAAGGGGGCCACAGAGGAGGCUAAGGCUGGGUGCUCUGUGAGAAUAGUGCUCUAUUGAGGUGGCCUCCUACCAGUCCUAUUGCUUUAAUGACUGGGGUGUGGCCUCCUGCUGAGUGAGGCCUCUCUGCCAAGCUGCCAAUUCCAAGUAAGGGCUGUUCAAAGAGGCUCUAGUUCAGUGGAAAAACCCCAGAAGUCAGAGCUGGAAGUGGAGCCACACCCACAGUGCCAGAGAAAGCCUGGGCUUGUGGAGAAGGCCAUGGUGUCUGGUACGGAGGAGAAAGCACUAGACUAGGUGGCAGGUUCCUGUCCUUUAGCCACUACCCGAAACACUAAGGUAGAGUUGAAAGCACUUCACUUUCCUUGCCUCUCUGGGCCCUAAUUUCCCACUGAGCAAUGAUGUCUGUCUUCAGGCCAGUAGGAUUGCUGAGGGCCCUACAAUACAGGCAAUGUGGGGCAGCGGAAACGAACCCUUCUAGGAACCAUGAAGGUGAGGGUUCAAGCCCUGGCCUCGCUCACUCAGUGGGUUAAGGAUCCAGUGUUGCUGUGAGCUGUGCUGUAGAUAACAGAGGUGGCUUGGAUCCCGUGUUGCUGUGGCUGUGGCGUAGACCAGCAGCUCUAGCUCCGAUUCAGCCCCUGGCCUGGGAACCUCCAUAUGCCGUGGGUGCAGCCCUAAAAAGCAAAAAAAAAAAAAAAAAAAAAAAAAAAAAAAAA